GCUUACGGCCAUACCACGUUGAAAGCACGACAUCUCCUCCGAUCUGUCAAAGCAACGUUGGGCCUGGUCAGUACUUGGGUCGGAGACGGCCUGGGAAUCUCAGGUGCUGUAAGCA
rnacentral:rRNA from 1 species